UGGUCGAGCUGGUCAAUUUGGACUUGUUACUAGCAUGUACACUGAAUCUAAUAGGGAGCUUGUUGAUGCGGUUCGCCGAGCAGGGGAACUCGGUCGACCUGUGGAGAGAGCAUUUAGCAGGAAAAGAAGCUUCCGUAACAAGAUCAAGAAGAGGGCGGCAAACCUAGUCAGAGAUUCAGCCAUUAUUAAAGAGAGUGCAAUGGCUUGAGAAUACAAGGUUACGUAGCUCUCAUUCUAAAACAACGUUGGUGCCAGUUGGAAGCAUAUAGCUCACGCUUACAUGACUCCAAGUGAACCGCUCUGGCGUCUGCUAUUCGAUCCUACGAUUUGUUGUGAAUUGCCCAAGAUCCUGAAUCCACCCCAUGAGAAACUUAUCAUCGCUGGUGCAAAUUCUGGCAAGCCAGGUCCCUUUCUCUCAGGUUCAGUAAUUUGCUAACCGAAUUUUUUUUCCUUUCAUUAUUCUAAAUGAGAUUUACGCU